CAAAAUGGCCUUCAUCCAAAUUGAAAUGUUCACUUUUCCUUUGGGAAAGCAAACAAAGAUUUUUGGAUGGGGAUUUCAAUCGAAUCCUUUCAGAUUCAACAAACGAUCCCACGAUGGCAUUUGCGAAGAACAUCGCUGAGGAAUUGCCGCGAUUUGCAGCACGCGUCGUUACCUACAUCCAAAUCGUCGUCGUCGUCCAACAAAGGAGUCCCGCGUGGCUUUGAAAGUGGUGCAGUCCAAGAACCAAGAACGGGCAAAUCUUGCCACAGUCCUCGGCGGCAAGAACGUUUUGGAUGUCCUCAACGGACGUCGCCCAGGCGACCCGCACCGAUAGGGGGCCCGAAGGUCCUCGCGAGGUGCCGGCGGCGUCAGUGGAAAAAGAGUCCGUCGGCAUAUUUUCCACCAGACGGAAGGAAGGAAUGCGGCCGCCGCUGCUGUGCGGGAACGUUGGAGGUCUUUCCUCACCUUCACGCUUUUUUUUUUUUUUUUUUUUUUUUUUACACACAUCCGUGCCCCCCACCCCCCUCCGUCCGUUCCCUCUGAAAAUAAACCCAAAGACGACGUUUCCGCACGCAACAUCUGGACGACCCGUCGGGGCAAGAUGGCCGCCCGGAGGAAGACCGGCUCGUUCAAGUCGUCCUCGCUAAUGAGGACCUCCCACGUGCCCGCCUCCCUGCUGAGGGCAUCAAAGGGAAACGAGGAGCACGUGCGCGUCGGGUGCCGUGUGGCGCGUCGCCCCACGUUCGGCCGGCGCGGCGUGGCGCGGCCCUGCCGCUUUGUCACACUUUGGUUCCCAUCCUCAAUGUGACUUUGCGUCCUGCCCAAAAACUUUCAGUUUCGUUGAAUUUUUGGCCGGGGGGGGUUAACCGUCUGCGAAGGUUCUCGCGUUCGAGUGCAUGAUGUCCGAAAGGCACCCAGUGUGAAAAUGAACGCGCGCGUGUGGCAUCAAGCUAAUGCGACGCCCAGCUCGUUAGUGGCCGAUUAAUUUGUCUUAACGAGCGUUUUGUGUGGGCGGGCAGCAGUACGGCCGGCGGGGGGGGUCUAGAUAAUACACGGUACUGAUGUGACCUUUCUUCCGGACUUUAAAAACUUUUCUCUGAGGUGAAUUUGACGCUAACGAGAAGGCGCCCGGCUUUUGACGUGUCGUGGCGAAAAGCGGUCGCCCCGUCGUCGCCGUUUCCGACCAGCGCGACGGUGAAACCGCCACAGCGGGACGGAGGCGGAUUAGCGCGGGGGCGGCGCAAUAGGAAGUCGACGAGCUAAUGGCUAAUUGCUAACGGCGGCCCCGCGGCGUUCCCGCCUGACGAAGAUGAGGAGCGAAGCCGUCUCGGCGUGCGUCACGUGACCUUUGACCCCGCGAGGCGCGCUCAUUUGGACAAUUUGACUCGACUUCGUUUGGGAUGAAAAAUCGAGAGUGUGCGUGGAGACGAGUUGCGGAUAAUUUUGUUGCGCGCUCUCUGGAAUUAUGUUGGGAUUGAUUGAUUGAUUGAUUUGUAAGUAUGAAAAGCUCAUGUCAAAUGUUAGAAAAGAAACUUCUGCUGUAUUUGGAUGAAUACGCUGCAGCGAUGUGAACCUGCCCCGAUGGCCAAAAUCCCAAAUUUGUGGAUUAUUGACGCUUUUGCGUUGGCGCCACGCACCAUCGCCGCCAUCUUGUCGCUCAACGCUGCCAUUUUGUUUGUCCUCUGAGACGUGUGGGGGUGGGGGUGGGGGGUCCCCGUCCCGGCUCAUCUUUGCGGCAGAUGUGGACCCGAAGGUGGAAAACUUUUGGGAAUACGAGAAUGCUGGAAAAGGACAUAGUUGGGAAUCAGCCAGCGAGGAGGCCGCCGCUUUUGUUUAGACUGACUUUGAAGCGUCGCCGGCAUUCUUGCGAGCCGCGGACCUUUUCCCUCCUUUCCGUCGGGCAGGUGGCUCGCAGCUACGUCCUCGAGUUCGACGCUUUGGCCAUCCACGUGAUUUGCACUCCUCGUCCGUGUGUGUUUACAAGUUGAAGGCGACUUCCUUGUGGCCGUCGCGUCCUGGGCCACGCCUCCGCGCGCUCAGUUGGCUGCUAACGUCCGGGAAUGUCAUCGGGCGGCGGGCGUUCGGGUGUCUCGGUCCGUCGUCCUUCGUCCUGCCGGUCGAGAACUUUAGCGCGAGACGCGGCCUCCUCGACUUCUUGCGUGCGGCGCAGGACAGAAAACGCGAGUGCGCGCGUCUCACGGGUGGCCUCAGGAACAGGAACAGGAACCUGGACAAGGACCUGCCUUGUCCAAAUAAAGGCUGCCACCGCAGAUGACGACGGAACAUUCUUCUUCUUCUUCUCUUGUUGAUCUCCAACAUGUGCGACUGCGCAACCUGCAAAUGGGAGGGGGGGGGGGGGGGGGCUGGAUCAGGAAUGGAAAAUACCAUGAUAUCUAUAUAGACAUUCAUCGUGCAAAGGACCCCAAAGUCGCAAAGAUGAUUUUUCAUCGAGGAAUCGGACGUACAUCCGCUCCCCGUUUGAACUUUUUGAAAAAGGAAGGAGGCCCGCGAGCCGCUCCCGGACCACGUCGACGCCGUUGCUCCGGAAAGCCGCGGUCGCGCCCCGCCGCCAAAAAGGAGACGCUCGGUGACGCACGCCCAGCUGAUGCACGACAAAGGCCGCACGCUGCAGGACUUCAAGCGCCGCAUGUGGCUGCAGGAACUCCUGGACGAGGUCCACACGGCCGAGAUCCGACAGCUCCCGGGUCUCGAGAC